UACACAUAGACACAUAUAUAUACACAUUUAUACAUACAUAUUGUUGCAUAUCACACACAGGUUUGAGAGUGAUGUUGGUUGUUGACAGAAGAUAGAGAGCACUAAGGAUGACAUGCAAGUACAUAUACAUAUAUAUCAUCACACCGCAUGUGGAUGUUAAAAUAUGUAUAACACAUUCAAGAAAGAAAAGAUAGAGAGAGAGAGAGAGGGGAGAGAAAGAGAAAGAGCCUGCAUCUAAUCUUCUGUGCUCUCUAUACUUCUGUCACCACCUUUAUAUCUUCUUCUCUCUUACCUUCAUAUACACACACACACACAUAUUCACAUAUAUGCAUAAUACCUACAUAUAUAUGAGUACGUACAUACCACAUAUCCUUAAAGGUUGAUUUAUGUUUAGUGAACAUUUACUUAAUUUUUUGCCACUAGAAUGAAUUCAGCGCAGGUGAAGAUUAUUUUUGGGUUUCAAGAAGCUUCAGUGACAUGAAAAAACAACAAUCACGAUGACGCUGUCAAACAUGAUUUGUUGUCUUAACAGAAAGUCGAAGACGAAUAAAAUAUCAUGGAUUUUUCUUCUUCAAGGCAAGUGGUUACAAUUUACAAUGUCUCUUUGUCUUGUCUCUAUAUACGUACAAAAGAAAAAAGCUAUCAUGAUUUUCAACAUCACCGUUUCCUCCCUUGUAUUUUUCCUUUGGUUUCAGCCGAUUGCAUAAUCUGCCAGAGAUAAAAAGUUCAAAUACCUCCCCUUCCGCAUCAGCUAUGUUCUCAUCUAAGAACCUACUGGUAGACUCGUUCUCGGAAUCAACCAUGUGAUGUCGUCUCGUUUCCCCACGGCCUUGGAACUUCUCUUGGCAUUACAAGAAGAAUCUCAAUUCUUGUCCAUAUAUAGUAUAAGGUUUCAUUAAUAGACUUAUCAAUUGUGAUGUGCACUGAAAGCCUAUGUUUCUCUAGUUCUGUAUAUAUAUAUAUAUAUAUAUAUAUAUUUAAAGUUUUCGU